rnacentral:rRNA from 1 species
UACGUAGGCAGCAAGCGUUUGUUCGGAGUUACUGGGCGUAAAGGGUGUGUAGGCGGUUUAUUUAAGUUUGGUGUGAAAUCUCCCGCUCAACCGGGAGGGUGCGCCGAAUACUGAAUGACUUGGAGUGCGGGAGAGGAAAGUGGAAUUCCUGGUGUAGCGGUGAAAUGCGUAGAUAUCAGGAGGAACACCGGUGGUGUAGACGGCUUUCUGGACCGUAACUGACGCUGAGGCGCGAAAGCGUGGGGGAGCAAACAGG